rnacentral:lncRNA from 1 species
CAAAUAUAUACUAGUCCAGUGAUAAUGAACGCCAUACUAAUUUCCAAAUUGUACACAAGAAACUAAAAUUAAAAUAAUACAAGACUAACAAAGGCCAGAGGCUCCUGACUUGGGACAGGCGCAAAAAUGCGGCGUGGUUAAACAUGUUUGUGAGAUCUCAACCCUCCCCCUAUACCUCUAACCAAUGUAGAAAAGUAAACGCAUAACAAUACGCAUAUUAAAAUUCAGUUCAAGUGAAGUCCGAGUCUGAUGUCAGAAGAUGUAACCAAAGGAAAUAAACAAAAUGACAAUAAUACAUAAAUAACAACAGACUAC